CAAUUGAUUGUUGGUAGUACCUGCUCAGUGCCCCUAGUAAGGGUAAACAGCCGCUGUAUUUUGACGGUGCUAAGGUAGCGAAAUUCCUAGCCUUUUAAUUGGAGGCCUGCAUGAAUGGUUUGACGAGCGCCCAACUGUCUCUUUUCCAUGCGUAUUGAAAUUAGCUUCUGUGUGAAAAGACACAGAUGGUUGAGUAAGACGAAAAGACCCUGUGCAACUUUACUGAGAAAGUAGGUUAACUAUUUUAAAGUUUAGCUGGGGCAGCUAGGGAAAAGAUAAAACCUCCCUAUUUAGUAAGUACUGUUAGGUUUUGAUCCAAUUAAUGGAUUGAUCGGUAGAAAAGUUACGCCAGGGAUAACAGCGUUAUCCUCCUGUGGAGGUCUUAUUUGCAGGGGGGAUUGCGACCUCGAUGUUGAAUUAGGGAUAUAGCGGGAAGGCGCAGCGGCUUUUUUUGUAGGUCUGUUCGACCUUUA
rnacentral:rRNA from 1 species